rnacentral:rRNA from 1 species
CAAUAGCGUAUAUUAAAGUUGUUGCAGUUAAAAAGCUCGUAGUUGGACCUUGGACCUGGACAGGCGGUCCGCCUCACGGCGAGUACUGUCUUGCUGGGUCUUUCCUCUUGGUGAUCUGUUGUUUCGGCAGCAGGGAACCAGGACCUUUACUUUGAAAAAUUAGAGUGUUCAAAGCAGGCUCGACGCCGGAAUAUAUUAGCAUGGAAUAAUAAGAUAGGACGUGCGGUUCUAUUUUGUUGGUUUUUGGAAUCGCCGUAAUGAUUAAUAGGGACAGUCGGGGGCAUUAGUACUCACAUGCUAGAGGUGAAAUUCUUGGAUUUUGUGAAGACUAACUUCUGCGAAAGCAUUUGCCAAGGAUGUUUUCAUUAA